CACGUAGGGUGCGAGCGUUGUCCGGAAUUAUUGGGCGUAAAGAGCUCGUAGGCGGUGUGUCGCGUCGGCCGUGAAAACCUGCAGCUUAACUGUGGGCUUGCGGUCGAUACGGGCAUCACUGGAGUUCGGCAGGGGAGACUGGAAUUCCUGGUGUAGCGGUGAAAUGCGCAGAUAUCAGGAGGAACACCGGUGGCGAAGGCGGGGUCUCUGGG
rnacentral:rRNA from 1 species